AGCGAACGCUGGCGGCAGGCCUAACACAUGCAAGUCGAACGAACCUUUCGGGGUUAGUGGCGGACGGGUGAGUAACACGUGGGAACGUGCCUUUAGGUUCGGAAUAACUCAGGGAAACUUGUGCUAAUACCGAAUGUGCCCUUCGGGGGAAAGAUUAAUCGCCUUUAGAGCGGCCCGCGUCCGAUUAGCUAGUUGGUUGAGGUAAUGGCUCACCAAGGCGACGAUCAGUAGCUGGUCUGAGAGGAUGAUCAGCCACAUUGGGACUGAGACACGGCCCAAACUCCUACGGGAGGCAGCAGUGGGGAAUCUUGCGCAAUGGGCGAAAGCCUGACGCAGCCAUGCCGCGUGAAUGAUGAAGGUCUUAGGAUUGUAAAAUUCUUUCACCGGGGACGAUAAUGACGGUACCCGGAGAAGAAGCCCCGGCUAACUUCGUG
rnacentral:rRNA from 1 species